UACGAAGGGUGCAAGCGUUACUCGGAAUUACUGGGCGUAAAGCGUGCGUAGGUGGUUCGUUAAGUCUGAUGUGAAAGCCCUGGGCUCAACCUGGGAAUGGCAUUGGAUACUGGCGACCUAGAGUGCGGUAGAGGGGUGUGGAAUUCCCGGUGUAGCAGUGAAAUGCGUAGAUAUCGGGAGGAACAUCUGUGGCGAAGGCGACACCCUGGACCAGCAAUGACACUGAGGCACGAAAGCGUGGGGAGCAAACAGG
rnacentral:rRNA from 1 species